GACGUAGGGCGCGAGCGUUGUCCGGAUUUAUUGGGCGUAAAGAGCUCGUAGGCGGCUUGUCGCGUCGACUGUGAAAGCCCGCGGCUCAACCGCGGGUCUGCAGUCGAUACGGGCAGGCUAGAGUUCGGUAGGGGAGACUGGAAUUCCUGGUGUAGCGGUGAAAUGCGCAGAUAUCAGGAGGAACACCGGUGGCGAAGGCGGGUCUCUGGGCAGUAACUGACGCUGAGGAGCGAAAGCGUGGGGAGCGAACAGG
rnacentral:rRNA from 1 species